GUAAACGACAAAAUUUAAUGUGUUUAAAAUUUUGUACAGUUUGUAAAGUUUUGUCGCCAAGCAAUGUUUUCGUAAAAAACAUCAACAAAACUUUCAAAUAACAAAUUUAAUUUAUAUUUCCCGCCUGCCAAUGAUUUCAGCACUGUAGGUGACAGUAUCCGAAACUAAUUGCGCAUUUCAAUCAAACGUUUAUAGUUGCCUAUCUAUAUAACAAAUAUAUUAUAUCUAAUCUAUGUGUUAAACGUCUCGAGAGUUUAUAAAAUUUGAUUUGUCAAAUCUGUACAUGUCUUAUAUUUGUGUUUUUAUUAUGAAACAAACACUUCCCUUAAAAAUAUGCGUGUUAAAAGUAGAAAAAUGUGUUUAGAGGUGCGCCAAUUAAUUGUUAAACAUCGAAAUGAUGGAAAAACGCUUCGAGAAAUCGGAGAAAUGGUUGGGCGCUCAAAAAGCAGUGUUCAAACAGUGUUGAGAAACUAUAAAAACAAUAAUAGUUUAGAAAGUAAAGCAAGAAGCGGUAGACCUCCAAAAAUAACUCCACGAAUAAAACUAUUCAUAUUAGAAUAAAUUAAACAAAAUCCUAGAACCAACGCCGUGGAAGUAGCGAAGAGACUAGAAUGCAACAAUAUAGUUUCCGUUCAUUCCGAAACAGUUCGAAGUCUACUACGAAAAAAUAGCGAAAACAAUAGGAAAAAACGCAUAGAUUUUGGUAACAAAUACCUACAGUGGCUCCAAACCAAACUCAGACAGUAGUGUAAUAAUGGGCGCGGUCAGCGGACACAGCAGCUGAGUAGCUGAGCCACAUCAGGUUUCUGAACGGUAUCGCUGGUUUACCGCUGAAACUCAGCGCUGGCCGUUUUUAACAGCGCUUUGGUUUGACUUUUAAAUGAAAAUGACAGAAAGUGGGUGAAGUCGUGAAGUGAGGUUAAUAUAAUCCCACCUAGCCGUGGCCUAACUUUGACAUUCAUGCAACAAAAUGGAUGCUGAGGAAAUAAGUAAUGAUGAUUUAACCUAUUACCUUGUUGACACCCAAGAUAAAAAUACAGAAGAAAACAGGAGUAUUAGUACUGUAGAAGAAGAAGGAAGGGGCGAACACUUCGAUGUAGAAGUAUAUGAAGAUAAAUUUAUAUGGACACAUUCAGCAACAAUGCUUUUC